CAUGACACUGAUAAAUAGUUUGACGCGACAGGAAAUGAUCAAAUAUUUCUCGGUGUCAAGAC
rnacentral:pre_miRNA from 1 species